rnacentral:rRNA from 1 species
UUUUAUCAGAGAGUUUGAUCCUGGCUCAGGAUGAACGCUGGCGGCGUGCUUAACACAUGCAAGUCGAACGGGAAAUACUUUAUUG